UUGAACGCUGGCGGUAUGCUUUACACAUGCAAGUCGAACGGCAGCACGGGGCAACCUGGUGGCGAGUGGCGAACGGGUGAGUAACAUAUCGGAACAUAUCCGGAAGUGGGGGAUAACGUAGCGAAAGUUACGCUAAUACCGCAUAUGCCCUGAGGGGGAAAGUGGGGGAUCGCAAGACCUCACGCUUUCGGAGUGGCCGAUAUCAGAUUAGCUAGUUGGUGGGGUAAAGGCCCACCAAGGCGACGAUCUGUAGCUGGUCUGAGAGGACGACCAGCCACACGGGAACUGAGACACGGUCCAGACUCCUACGGGAGGCAGCAGUGGGGAAUUUUGGACAAUGGGCGCAAGCCUGAUCCAGCCAUACCGCGUGAGUGAAGAAGGCCUUCGGGUUGUAAAGCUCUUUCAGCAGGAACGAAACGGUGGCUACUAAUACUAGCUACUAAUGACGGUACCUGAAGAAGAAGCACCGGCUAACUACGU
rnacentral:rRNA from 1 species